GCUAAAUGCCUCAUUUUAUUGAUGAAAACAAAACGAGUCGAAAACAACUGAAUAAUAAAAGAUGUCACUAAUGGCCUGCGACCUUAUUACAUUUAAGAAAGCAGAAGAGUAAAAAUCCUAACUACUUGGCCCCAGAAGGACCUUCUUCAGGUUGAAUGUUCUCAUUGAUUAGACCUUCCAGCUCGCGCAGAUUUUCUAGUAAAAAUGCCUUUGCCAGGCGUUCUCCUUCGCUUCCCUCAACAUUUUGACAGUCAGUGGCUCUCCUCCUCACUUUCCCUUCCAAUUCCAGCAAGCUGUACUCCAGGUAUUCUAGUUUUUCACUAGCCUUGCUGACUCUCUCUUUCCAUUCGUUGAUUUGGUUGCUCGAAUGGAGGUUUCUCCACCAAGUCUGCAAGGGUGAAAGUAUGUUUACCAUACCGAAGUCAGGAACUUUGUCAUUCAUUUCCUGCAAAACAAAAAAGGGUUAAUACCUCACCCCACCGGACUCGACUAUUUAAAUCAAUAAUUAGCAAAAAAGGCAUUUAGUUCUCCAAAUAAAUGCACACAACGUGAAGGUGUCCGUUUGGGUUUUAGGAAACCCGAUGGACUUUGGUUUAGGCUAUCUUAAUGAGUUAUUAUGCGGACAACAUCACUGACUCGGCUAGGCUGACCAUGAUGCAUGAACAGUAUAAUAGAGUAAGGUUUCUAUUUUUGAAGUGCUAGACAAGGUACCCUUGAGCGGACAACUCAAGAGGGAAAGGCGCGGAACCGUCGACUACACAUUUGAUGGAAUGGUUUUACCGCAAAUAAGCCUUUGCCUAAUUUAAAGGGUGAUAAUAUUGGAAGAGCGCAACCACUCAUUAUAAGCGUUGCUAUAGGAUUUGUUUGGCACGAGUGGAAUGUGAUGCUGAGGAAUGCCGUUAUAAUAACAUAACAAAUUGCAUGUAUUUUCACGUUCAUAAAGUAAAUAUUACAAUAAAUGCUUGGAAAUAAAAACGGAAUUGAAAUAAUGGUAAAGCAGAAAAAGGGGAAAGCGGUUAGAGGAAAAGAAAACACGAAGAGUCAAGUUAGUACUCGUGAAGAAAUGAUUAAAAACAGGAAAUAUAGGCAAUAAAGGAAGCGAUAAAGUCAUGAAAGCACGUAAUGGUAAAAGCCUUAAGGAAAUUUCCAGCAGAGUCGCCAUGCUAUCGACGCCUCCCUUUUUCCCUCCCUGAAAGAAGGUGAAAUCGGGUUUACGACAUUAUGGACAAAACAACUCUUAUUCCCCUUUCGAGGAAUCGGGUUAUAGAAUUUGAAGAGUUGCCACCUAAUGAUUAUAGUGCAUUAGGACACUUUAAAGAAGAUAAGAUUUUGAAAGAUAAACCAGAGUUCGGGUAAGGGCUUGAGGUUAUCUCGAGGGGAAGGUGUUAGGCACCCCUCAAGGUCCACUAGUGUGGUUCCCGGCCGUGCUUAAUUAUGACUUUAAGAAGAGUAGGAAUAAAUAAACAAAGUUUGCACUUGACAAGUUGAAAAAUUUUGAAAGAAGAAAGACACAAGUGAUUUUGAAAGAAGAAAGCUUAGCUGAAGAAAACAUUAAUUUAAGAAAACGUCAAUAACUAAAGAAGGAAAAAAGGGGUCCUAGGUUUAAAUAUAAUAUGGAUCACUUCAAUGCAAUAUCCAGCAAUCACUCCUCAGAAGAGGGGUCGCACGUGAUAUUAGUGCACCGGUCAUCAUCUCCAUAUUCUACCCUUCCCACCCCGUCAAGGUAUUAAACGCAAUUAGUCUCGUUUACUUAUUACAUGCUAAUACCCGUCCUGACCUAUCAGUCCCAGGGUAUUAAGACUUCUAAUCCUAAGGGAAAGAAAGGGGUAGAGGCAUAUAUGGAGUUUCAAAAGGAUAAAAUACUAGGCGUCAAUCAAAACAAAUAGCAGAUAAGUGGGAAACAAAACAAAUACUCAAACGGCUCACACAAACCCCAUAAAUCACAUAACAAUUAGUUUAGCAUGUCUUACAAUUACUGAUUUGGUCUUAAGAUUAAAACUGACAGUGGACAGAUUAGUUUAACACAUAGAGUUGGAUAAUAAGACUACUUUGAGCCCCUCUGGUCCGGUUUGUUAGAAAUCAAAAGUAUUUUAGGCGAAUGAUUUAGAAAAUACUGAUUUCAGAAAAGGUAAUCAGAUGCAGAAGAAUUUAAAGGAAAGUGCAGAUUUCGAAAGCAUCAAACUGUUUGAGUGAAAAAGCAAAAGAGUUAUGCAAGAAUUUUGAAGGCAGGAGUAUGUUUGAGAAAAGGAUUUGGUUGCAGAAUUGAUUUAAAGGCAGUUACAAGGACUGAUUAAAAUGCUUAGGCAAAACUAUUUAAGAAAAAGUGUUCAUGGAAAAGAAUGCAGAUUUGUAGAGCUUGACAACACACAAGGUUUACAAAAGAGUUGUGUUGAAAACAUUAAAAAAAACGUUAAGAACCAAUUGACAGACUGCUGUUACUUAAACGGAUCAAGCGAGUUGCAAUUAAUCCUAUAGGCAUGACAUCUACGUUUCGAUUUUUAAAGGGGGUUGUUAAAGCAUUGGUAAAACAUGAGUGUAAUUAUCCUACAGUUUGCCUAACGCAUAUGCAGUUCUUAUAGACAUGAUUUCUAUCAUGCUUGCAAUACAAAAUCCUAUAGGCAUGAUUUCUAAAUGGUAUGCAAUAUUAAGGUCCUAUAGGCAUGAUUUCUAGAUGAUUCGCAAUAUUGAAGUCCUAUAGGCAUGAUUUCUACCCAUUGACUGAUGCAAACAACAUAAACCCCUCCCACACCUUUUUACUAACAUUCCCAAGUCUUUUACAAAGUUAUUACAAAAGUGGAAGGGGAAGACUAAAAAAAAUAAAUACAUCAAAACUAAAACGGACCCGAGGAAGCCCAAAGCAACCUUAGUGUCCAACACAUGUAUUUUACCAAAUCCGGGCUCUAGAUUCCAAGGCCUUCUCUUAGAGUGUUUCAAAGUUCCAAGGGCUUUCAGGAAGCCCAGGCAAUGCUUACACCCUAAAUAUUGAGUAGAGUAGUGCAAUGUGUGGAAUUACCAAUCCUUAGGCAUCCAAGUUCAUAGGGAACUCUAGGGUCCCUAAGCAUGGCUUACCAUAGGGCGGUAGGACUUAAAGAACUAAGAGUAAGUGUAAAAGUGAGAGGAUUAGAGGAGACCAAAGCAAAGGGUGGUCAUACCUAGCCAUGGAUGGGACUGGUACACCCCUAAUCCUUUACUUGGUUCAAGAAAAUAAGAGAGCAGACUUUAGAAAGUCAAACUUAGGCCUGUAUGGUGAUUAGGACACCACCAGACUUGAGUCAAGCUCAACACAUAACAUGGGUUAAGGGAAUGGGAGUGAUUUGAGUAUAGGUUUAGAGCAACCUAGUUCUAAACUAGGGAUGGCAAUAGAGUGCCACCCUAGUCUAAAACAAUACAUACACACAAAGGGGUCAGGGAAAGGGAAUCACAUGAAAGAAAACAUCAAGGAGAGAUAAGAAAACAUAACAGCAGCAACAUGCGGAAAGGUAUAACAGACUAGUGUAUGGUUAUUUAGUACCAGAAAACAUGCAGUGGAGGGGGUCAUGUAGAGGGGAGAAAUGAACACAUAGUUUUAGAGAACACUAUUUAAAUGGUGGAGGCCUACAAGUUGCAGGUGUCAAACAACAGAACAAGCAAAUAGAGUUCUAUACUUUAGGCUUGGCUUUCAGCCGGCUAAGCGCAAGCAGCAGCACAAGUAGCAGAAAAGAGAAGAGAGAGCUUAGUGUGUGUGUGUUGAACUGAGAUUGUUCGUGCCUUUGAAGUAAAAGGGGUGGGGGGUUUUUAUUGUUUGAAAGUAAGUAGUAAAUAAGGCAGGAAAAUAACCUUAGUAUCAAAUCACAAUCAAUUAGGGGAAGGAUUACCUUUAAUUAAGGAGUCGGACUUAAGGUAAAUAAACAGAGUUCCUUUUAUGGAAAGAAAAAUCAAGAAUAAGUUGCAAAAUAAAGGGUAAAUACAUAUAGAGUUUUUGAGAGAUAUACGAUUUUAAGCAAAUAAGGCAAGAAGAAUCACCAAUCACAUAGUAAAUUAAGGAAAUAAGGAUUCGAAUUGGUAUUGAAUUUAGUCAGAAAGUAGGUCCAAAUCAGUCAAAGGGAAAAUCGAAAUAGGCUCAUAGGAAAUCAACCCCCAAAAUUAGGGUUAUUUGAAAGGGAAAAUAUGACUAUAAAAGAGAUGCACAUAUUCAGACAUGCGAGGCUAGGAUUAGCAGAAUAGUCAUGUAAUCAGAGAGCAGAAGAACAUAAGCAUGAAAUGGAAUUAGAAGUUCUCGCAGAGCUUAGCAGGAAAUCAGAAGCACGAAAGGAGUUUAGACAGUUAGGGUUUUGAAAUUAAACAGGCAGCAUACAAUCACACACAAAACUCGAAAACCCCCAAAAUCUAGGGUUUUCAUCACAUUUUGAAUGUAAAGAAGAAAGCACAGGCGAAGAUGAACUCAGAAAGAACAUAAACAUUCACGAAAAGCAUAAGGAAGGCAGAGAACACAAUAAAGAAACUACUCGGAAACCCUAGAAACAACACGGUAAAGAAAAUGCAUAAAAAUCAUAGUAGAAAUACUUAGCAAAAGUAGAAGAAAUCACAAUAGAGCAAAUAAACAGAAAAUCGGAGAAACCCUAAGUUUUAAGAAGAUGAACAUUUCGAAAACAAAAUCGGCAAAAAAUGUGGAAAACACUUUGAAAUCUUAGAAAAUAACAUAGAUAUGAAGUAGAUCUUAAAGAGAAACAAAGAAGAAAAAACCUCAGAGACUUAGGGUUUCAGAGAAAACCCUAGAGAACGAGAAAGGCCUGGAACGGACUGGUCUUGAGUCGAAGACGGACUCAGAAAGCUAAGAUUCGCCGGAGAGAGACCGAAAAUGACCAUAGAACUCAAGUCGGAGGACCUCUGAGCCGGUGGUCUUCAAGAUCGAAUUUCGAUCUUUGAACAAAAGGGUCAUAGAAGGGAGUGGGGGUGAGUAUAGGUUGCACGAAGCUUGGGAGGCCAUGGUUUCCGGUGAAACAAGGUCGGAAAAUGGUCGGAGAAGGGCUAGGGUUUUAGGGGUGGUUGAGAGCAUUUGGGA
rnacentral:lncRNA from 1 species